rnacentral:misc_RNA from 1 species
GAUGAAGAACGCAGCGAAAUGCGAUAAGUAAUGUGAAUUGCAGAAUUCAGUGAAUCAUCGAAUCUUUGAACGCACAUUGCGCCCGCCAGUAUUCUGGCGGGCAUGCCUGUUCGAGCGUCAUUUCAACCCUCAAGACCCCUUCGGGGGACUUGGUGUUGGGGACCGGCACAGGGGCCUGCCUGCUUGUCUUGCAGCGCCCUCGCCGCCCCCGAAAUGAAUUGGCGGCCUCGUCGCGGCCUCCCCUGCGUAGUAGCACAACCUCGCAACGGGAACGUGACGGCGGCCACUGCCGUAAAACAACCCCAAUUUUAUUAGAGUUGACCUCGAAUCAGGUAGGAAUACCCGCUGAACUUAAGCAUAUCAAUAAGCGAAGGA